CCCGGAGCUGAGCGGGGCAGCGGCAGCGGGAGGUGGAGGUCCUCUUCAAAAUGUUUAAUAUGUGAGCGUUUUCUUGAUUGCUGCUCUUGAUGGCCGUUGUACCUCUGCUGGGUUUGGUUACAAAACAGCAGCAUGGAAAAGCAGUAAGUGACUCUUGAAGGUCAUUUUAGUGAUAUUAAUGAAAAGGAAGGCUCAUUCUAUAAAACUAUUAGAGAAAGCGUUCGAAGAUUGCAAUCAGAUACGCCUGUACAGGGUGUACUGGGUUUGGUAUUGCUAUUCAUUUACUAGUCAACAUUUAAAGUGUUUCACUCUAGGGGCAGGUGUUGGGAGGAAAAGGUUAAAAACCUUUUAUUAGUCUGGUGAUGACACAAUUCUUUCUAGAGUUUUCUUUUUUUUUCCCUCAGCGAUCAACCUUGUCCCGGAGACAUCCUAAAAUUAUUAAGUGUGGAAAUUUUGGAUAUUUGUGUUUCCUUUAGGUUGUUUUCUCUCAGCUGAGAGAAACAGAAUUUGCUUAAAGGUGGUAACAGGAUAUAUAUAUAUAGAACAGAAGGAAAAUAUUAGCAUUAGUAGAGCUAAGUAAUUGUGUGCUUUCAAAGAAAAUACAUCUUCUUACCAUUUCAGUUUGAUUUCUGAUGCAUGUCAUUCUGUUUUACAGUCCCAGAUGCAGAUCAACUACUUUCAGUUUUGGUACAGAUUCCGAAGCGGGGUUGAUCCGAUACUCAGAGCUCUGGAGGCAAGACUGAGCACUACUGAGCAACGUGUGGCUGCUGUGCACAGGCUGGGCUGACGGGAAAUGCACGUUGAACUGCAGGAGAGUGGCCGGGGUGAAACUUGGCCCUGGAAUCCUCUGGGGUCUGUGGGGACGUUGUGAAGAUGUGCAAGGGCUGCAGGCCACGGGUGGCCUGAGCUGUGGGGGAGCAGUGCUGACCCAGGCUGUGUCCCAGCCAAGGAGGAGUUCUUCUUACGUGCCUCGAGAGGACACCCCGGGGCUUUUUUCCUAAUAAGGACUUCGGAUCAGUCCAUCUGUAGACUCGUGGUUUAAUGUCAAUAUUUAUUUAAACUUUUGUCUCUGAAAGAAAAGCAUUUAUCUCCUGUCCUCCCUGACAUUCGCUGUCUACUGAACUGGGUGUGCAUCUUCCUAAGCUAAUAAAAAACCUGCUUGUGAUUCUGUAAUUUCCAGAGGAGCAGCAUGAAGUCACUUUUUCUUGUCUCCACAGCUUUAUCUUUGCUUUUGCUCAAAGACAGGAAUGACUCAAUAGCUAUAUGUGGUGAACUGUUAUUUUGGUGGGGGUUUUUUGCAAGUUCAGGGCUAAAAUAUGGUGUAAGAAAAGGCUUUCUUUGUAGCAUUAGAUAAAUGCUUUUCCAUGAAGUGUGGAAGGUCAGUUGUUUUACAAUUUCAAGGGGAGGAAACCAAACCAGGCUGAUGGCGACGUUCCUUUCAGGAGGGCUUGGCAUAGAUUUGAGCAGUUCAUUCCGAAUGGGUUUUUUGUGUUAAUGCUACUAUUUCAGUUGUGUUGGGUUUUCUGUGCAUUUGGCUAAUUGUCAGUGUUUCUCAUAUAGUAGGAGUGUUCUGCCUAGUGUUUUUCAUUAAAAGCAAUCAAUUGUGGCAUAAAGCAAGAAUAUUUCCAAAAAGUGGUUUGGGUUUUAUUUUGGGUUUGGUGGGUGUUUUUGGGUGGUUUUUUUUUUUUUUUGGUGGUUUUUCUUUUGUUGUUGUUGUUGUUGUUUUUGUUUUGUUUUGUUGGGGCUUUUUUGUUUGUUUUUCCCAACACUAUUUAACUUUACUGUAUUUAACUUUAAAACUGUGAGUGUUACAGUUUUCUCCAAGAAUUUGGAAUUAAUUUCUCCAUUCUGCCACAUUGGUAGGCACUGUUACUCUUAGAAAACCUUCAAAGCUUCUACCCUCCACCCUCAGUGCCCCGUUUUGAAGUACUGCUCCAGUUCAGCCUGCAGUGAUGGGUCUCUCAUCUUUUUCUGUUCAGCUCCUGUGUCCAGGGAAAUCGAAGCGUACUUAAGUGAGAAAUGGUUGCUUUUCUCCAGGCGAGCACGUGAAUUUCAGAACUUGAAGAGAAAAACUUCCCGGCCCACCUGGAAUGAUUUGGGUAUCAGGAGGCACCUGGGAGACUCCUUUUGUGUCCUGGGUGGGACUGUGGCUAUAAAAGGGGUAAAGGAUGGAGCAGGGGGGCUCAGUGCACAGGGAAAUUAACCUUUGGGGAAGUUCUUACAGCUCUAUUUAAAGCUUUAUGAAUUAUGAUGAUUUUCUGUAAGUAGGCUGUCUGUUCUGAUCCAUUUUCUUUCCUCUCCCUGCGGAUUCUAUCUGCUGAAAGGCUGAGGUGAGAGCAGGAUCUGUAAAAUCUCUGACUGUCCGUGUCUCCCUGGGGCUGAAGCUGUGUUUGCUGUCAGUGGUUGCACAGUGCAAGAUGCUAAAGACUGAAAAAUUUGGGGUUUUUUCUCCUUGAAACCCAAGACUCACUCUGCAGCUGUGCCCUGUAUAUCUCUUUUAAGAGUUCCUGGGUUUAGAAAGGUUUUUACAUCCUGCAAUGUAUAAUUCAAUUAAAAAGAAUUGUACUGUGUCAAUGUGGUGUUAUUUACUUUGAGUUGGUUAAUUACAGCAAAUGAUUAAUAUUGGGUUUGAUAAGAGCAUCCCUUGAUUGAAGCAGGCAGCUCUGAAUUUCUCAUCAUUCCUUUAAUUUCUUUCAGUUAUUUUUUAAGUAACUACUGCACUUAGGAUAUACAAGAAGGACAACAGCGUUUCUGCUCUGCUGGACUGGGAAAUCCAAGCCAAAUUCCUUAGAGAUUGAGGAGAUGGGGAGCUGAGCUUCAGGCUGGGUUUUGACAGUGGAAAUUUGUCGAGGAAAAGAAAUAGUAGAAUAAAGAUAUAUAUAUAUAUAUAUAUAAUACAAAGUAAACAAU